rnacentral:rRNA from 1 species
UGGGGAAUCUUCCGCAAUGGACGAAAGUCUGACGGAGCAACGCCGCGUGAGUGAAGAAGGUUUUCGGAUCGUAAAACUCUGUCUUUUGGGGCGAACGUGAGUAUGGUGAACAAUCAUAGUCAGUGACGGUACCAAAGGAGGAAGCCACGGCUAACUACGUGCCAGCAGCCGCGGUAAUACGUAGGUGGCAAGCGUUGUCCGGAAUUAUUGGGCGUAAAGAGCGCGUAGGCGGGAUAGUCAGUCUGUUGUAAAGUGCGGGGCUCAACCCCGUGAUCGCAAUGGAAACAGCUAUUCUUGAGUGCAGGAGAGGAAAGUGGAAUUCCCAGUGUAGCGGUGAAAUGCGUAGAUAUUGGGAGGAACACCAGUGGCGAAGGCGACUUUCUGGACUGUGUCUGACGCUGAGGCGCGAAAGCCAGGGGAGCGAACGGGAUUAGAUACCCCGGUAGUCCUGGCCGUAAACGAUGGGUACUAGGUGUGGGAGGUAUCGACCCCCUUCCGUGCCGGAGUUAACGCAAUAAGUACCCCGCCUGGGGAGUACGGUCGCAAGACUGAAACUCAAAUGAAUUGACGGGGUCAUAGCUGUUUCCUG